UACAGAGGUCUCAAGCGUUGUUCGGAUUCAUUGGGCGUAAAGGGUGCGUAGGCGGCGCGGUAAGUCGGGUGUGAAAUCUUGGAGCUUAACUCCGAAACUGCAUUCGAUACUGCCGUGCUUGAGGACUGGAGAGGAGACUGGAAUUUACGGUGUAGCGGUGAAAUGCGUAGAUAUCGUAAGGAAGACCAGUGGCGAAGGCGGGUCUCUAGACAGUUCCUGACGCUGAAGCACGAAGGCCAGGGGAGCAAACGGG
rnacentral:rRNA from 1 species